rnacentral:rRNA from 1 species
UACAGAGGUCUCGAGCGUUGUUCGGAUUCAUUGGGCGUAAAGGGUGCGUAGGUGGCGCUGUAAGUCGGGUGUGAAAUCCUGAGGCUUAACCUCGGAACUGCAUUCGAUACUGCCGUGCUUGAGGACUGGAGAGGAGACUGGAAUUUACGGUGUAGCGGUGAAAUGCGUAGAUAUCGUAAGGAAGACCAGUGGCGAAGGCGGGUCUCUGGACAGUUCCUGACGCUGAGGCACGAAGGCCAGGGGAGCAAACGGG